CUAGGGCUGAAAUUGAGAAACUCCGCUCCACAUGAACCACAAAUAAAAGGAAGAAAUUCAGGAGACGACCCACAGACCCUCUGAAGGAAGUGGACUGCUCCUGCAGGACCCGGGAGACACCACAAAUACAGUGAGUGCCCAACUGUGGAAGUGGGAAAGGGAGACCCUCCUCUCCUGAACACACGGCCCCACAGGGGAGGCUGAAGGUCUGUUUGCGGAUAAGUUUCCGACCUUACCUGGAGCUGAGCCAAUUUUGAGAGCUGAAAUGCAGGGGUAGAGGAAGCAGCAGAAACGCCCUGGGAGCUCGCUAUGUCCCCUUGCUAGGGACAUUCCUUCCUGGCACCACAGAGAUCCAUCAGGGGACACAAGAGGCGAUUUCAAGAAACACUAAUAGGAUUGUGAGAAAGUUGGCCAAGGAAGAGGAACAGCCAAUAAACGGUGACUUGUCAAGACAGUUAGGACCCUGGGAGCUAAAUCUGCCUGGAGAACUCUGGAAAUCAGUGUGGAACACAUACUUCAGCAUCAUCUCAGCUAAUGGACAAGUAAGAUGGAGUACUGCUGGGUGGCCAGGCUGGAGUGCAGUGGUGCGAUCUCGGCUCACUGCAAUCUCUGCCUCCUGGGUUCAAGUGAUUCCUCUCCCUCAGCCUACCGAGUAGCUGGGACUACAGGUGUGCACCAUCACGCCCGGCUAAUUUUUUGUCUUUUAGUAGAGACAGGGUUUCACCAUGUUGGCCAGGAUGGAGUCAAUCUCCUGACCUCAACGAUCUGCCCGCCUCGGCCUCCCAAAGUGCUGGGAUUACAGGCGUGAGCCACCGCUCCCAGCUUAAUAAACUUUCUUAACUCUCACAGCUUCCCUUCCAGUCUUACAUAGCUUGUUUCACAUAAGAGUUACCUAGCUAAAGCAACUCAUUUCUUUAAGUGCUGAGCAUUUCCUCCUGUAUAAUCUCUACUUGGGGCUGCUUACCGGUUCUACUCUAGUUUCUACACAUUGUCAUGAGAUGGGAUAGUUCCCUUGACCCCCUUCACAGGCAUUUCACCCCCUUCAAUCAUUUCACUUAGCUUGAUGCUGGCCACUUCUCGCGAGAGGGAGCCUGUGAGCAAAUGAGUGUGUGAACCAAGUGAACAAACUCUGGAACUGAAGUGAACGAAUGCUGAAACCAGCCGGUCGCACCUCUCUGGUGGGAGCAGGCUUUGUGCAGGGCCCGCAGCAGCGUCCAAGAGAGUUACAACCAAUGGUCUUUCAGCUCUGCCGUCUGGGGACGGCCAAGUGCCAACCACCUCAGGGGAGGGUCAGGGUGGCAGCCCCUGCCCUCCCGACACCCAGGUUCUUGUCCAGCAUCCAGGAAGAAUCAGGUCACACGAACUGUUUGAAAGGUGAUGAAUGCGGAAGACUUUAUUUAGCGGUAUUCCUAAGACCACUCCCUUAUGGGGAUCUUGUAUGCAAAUCUUUAUCACUGAGUCCGCCUGUUGGUGUUAGAAGAGGUCUGAGAAAACAGACCUAAAAGAGGACUCUAGAGCUGGAUCACCAGCUGUUCAGUGGACACGGAAAACCUUAUCACUAAUGCUUCCGGACUUAUAAUGUGGGAGUUAUGUUCCAAGACUCAGAUGGAGAAGUUCUGGGCCUGUUAAGGGAGAAAAGAGACUGUAUCCUGAAGACAUAGGAAAAUGAACGAGGCACAUUAACUCAAAGAUUUUGGACUUAUAUCUGCGCAGAAUUAUUGUUAUCUCCUUGAGAAUAUAAGCAGACUGCAUGGUAAGUUCCAGAUGGGAUUCCUCUGAAGUCCAGGUAAAUGAACUCAAGCGUAUCCUUCAUCCCAGUUCUGUGAUGAAAGCCUGCUGUUCCUUGGGAAGGCAAGAGGAGGAAUUUGAAUGGCAUCUUUGUUGGUGGAAGAGAGGGGAUGAUAAGAGUGCUUGUACAUGAUUCUUUGUAAGUUAUCUCCCUGCUACCUUUCUUUUUCUAAAACAUCCUAUAUAGAACUACAAGAUUAAUCUUUGCAAACACAGUUCAGAUCAUUUUUUUUUUCUGUUCAAAAUCUUCAGCAAGUCAGAGCUGGCUGAAUAAACUUUUAACUCACAGAAUUAAGACAGACUUUGAGUUGAUUAUCAUUAGGGAUCUAUUCAUCCCACCAAUUAUUUAGCACAUGUGUUUAUCUAAACUUGUGUUUAUCCCAUUGUCUGACUUCCUCUGGAACACACAGAGGGGCAGGAAACUUACUACCAAUUCCAUGUACUGUUCUGUUUCUCAUAACGUCCUCACAUUUAUUAAAAAAUCUGUCACCUUGCUGCUGCUGGAGAGCCACACAAAAUAAAUCAUAUUCCUGUCUAUGUAUGAGAGAUCAAUAUCUUGGACAUCAUAGAUCUUCUAAAUCUCAUCUCUCCUUUAAAUUUAGACAUUUCUCCAGCCAAUUUUUCUCCUGCAGUCCUUACCCAAGCUUCAAGUCUCCCUCUAAGAAAGCUCUCUUCGUAAUCCUCGCCCCCAGUCUCUUCUCCUAGAGAGAUGUAAUUUCUUUCCUGUCCUCACCUAAUGAGUAUGGUACUCCAUUUUAGGGACCUCUUCCUAUGCUUAUUACUUUCUACCUAUAUUUAUAGAAACAUUUUACAAAACAUUUCCAUGCCACAAUAUUCUCACAAGUUGUCAAUAGCAGUUAGUUGCAGGGAGUGGGGGUGGGGGAUAGCCCAUAAAACAACAUACAUUUAUUU
rnacentral:lncRNA from 1 species